CAGUAGCCGCGGUAAUACGAAGGGGGCUAGCGUUGCUCGGAAUGACUGGGCGUAAAGGGCGCGUAGGCGGAUUGUUUAGUUAGGCGUGAAAUUCCUGGGCUUAACCUGGGGACUGCGCUUAAUACAGGCAGUCUAGAGUGAGGAAGAGGGUUGUGGAAUUCCCAGUGUAGAGGUGAAAUUCGUAGAUAUUGGGAAGAACACCGGUGGCGAAGGCGGCAACCUGGUCCUUGACUGACGCUGAGGCGCGAAAGCGUGGGGAGCAAACAGGAUUAGAUACCCGUGUAGUCCCUGUCUCUUAUAC
rnacentral:rRNA from 1 species